rnacentral:rRNA from 1 species
GGUUAAGCGACUAAGCGUACACGGUGGAUGCCCUGGCAGUCAGAGGCGAUGAAGGACGUGCUAAUCUGCGAAAAGCGUCGGUAAGGUGAUAUGAACCGUUACAGCCGGCGAUGUCCGAAUGGGGAAACCCAGUGUGAUUCGUCACACUAUCGUUAACUGAAUACAUAGGUUAACGAGGCGAACCGGGGGAACUGAAACAUCUAAGUACCCCGAGGAAAAGAAAUCAACCGAGAUUCCCCCAGUAGCGGCGAGC